rnacentral:rRNA from 1 species
CCCUUUGGGUGUGACUGCGUACCUUUUGUAUAAUGGGUCAGCGACUUAUAUUCUGUAGCAAGGUUAACCGAAUAGGGGAGCCGGAGGGAAACCGAGUCUUAACCGGGCGUUAAGUUGCAGGGUAUAGACCCGAAACCCGGUGAUCUAGCCAUGGGCAGGUUGAAGGUUGGGUAACACUAACUGGAGGACCGAACCGACUAAUGUUGAAAAAUUAGCGGAUGACCUGUGGCUGGGGGUGAAAGGCCAAUCAAACCGGGAGAUAGCUGGUUCUCCCCGAAAGCUAUUUAGGUAGCGCCUCGUGAAUUCAUCUCCGGGGGUAGAGCACUGUUUCGGCUAGGGGGCCAUCCCGGCUUACCAACCCGAUGCAAACUGCGAAUACCGGAGAAUGUUAUCACGGGAGACACACGGCGGGUGCUAACGUCCGUCGUGAAGAGGGAAACAACCCAGACCGCCAGCUAAGGUCCCAAAGUCAUGGUUAAGUGGGAAACGAUGUGGGAAGGCCCAGACAGCCAGGAUGUUGGCUUAGAAGCAGCCAUCAUUUAAAGAAAGCGUAAUAGCUCACUGGUCGAGUCGGCCUGCGCGGAAGAUGUAACGGGGCUAAACCAUGCACCGAAGCUGCGGCAGCGACACUGUGUGUUGUUGGGUAGGGGAGCGUUCUGUAAGCCUGUGAAGGUGUGUCGUGAGGCAUGCUGGAGGUAUCAGAAGUGCGAAUGCUGACAUAAGUA